GCUUUUUUAAAUUGGAACCACUGUUGGAAAACCAGGUCAAGUGGGGAGGAGCAAAGAACAAGAGAUUUCUUAUGGUUCUGAUUGGGUUACAAUAAAUAUUACAUUUCCAUGUGUGAAGGUGUCAGAAAGGCAUUGGUUGUAAAGUGUGAAGCAUUUAAAAAUGAAUAUGGUUGUUACACACAGCACUAGUGUUUUGUCCUCAACCUGUUUGGACUCCAGUAUCAUGCUGUGUUUUCACUGACCUGCUGUUGAGUGGCUGGCUUUAUAUAUAGCAUCAAACUUGACAGUCAAUAUCCUGAAGCAAUAGAUUCUUUAAAUUAGAAUAGGGAUAUCACAUUCAUUUUGUCCAACAUACAUUUGUAUUCAUGGACAAAUCUAUAAUGUGACCAAAAUUAUUAUCAUGUACAUUGUUGUAAUUGGUGAAUUUUAUAUGUUAUUAAUUUAUUUUAUAGAAUCAUUGUAUAUAUACUUUUUCAUAUUGAUAGGCUACAGUUCUGUUGUGUACUAGAAUCAAUAUAUAUUGCUCAAUUAUCCAACUAGACAUUAGAAUACAAAUCUGUUAAAAUAUUUAAAGGCCCAAUUUGUAUACAAAUAUAGAAAUAUAAUUAUGUGUAUAUAUAUAUAUGGAUAUAUGGGAUAUCCAUAUAUAUAUAUAUGUAUAUAGAUGUAUAUUGAAGUGGAUACUUUUGGUAACCAAAUAUCAGCUUUCUUUUGGAAAAUGAUCCCUUCUUGCCUUUUCUACCCCCCAUGUAGUAAUUCUAGAAUUCACAAUACAGAAUACCAGUGAGACCCAGGAUAGCAUCUGCCUCUCCUCCAAUCAUAGUCCUUACCUGAUAGUUCUAAUACCAAAAUUAAUAAAUAGAGAUAGUGUCUCCUUGGGAACUUUGUCUCUAAGUGAAAACCUGAGGAGCUAUAAACAACAUUUUUACCAUACAGCUCAAAGAAGCAGGCAGAAACAGAGAUGAACUAAAACAACCAGAAUGGAAGGAAGAGAGAGAUGGGAUUAGGAAAAAAGAAACAGACAAUGAGAGCAGAAGAAAAAACUACAGAGGUUACUGAGAGUAUUGGAGUAGUGCCCAGCCUCAUUUCUGAUGGUCUCUAUAGAUCUUGUCAGUUUGGAAUCCAGAAGGCUUCAAUUUCAAGACAUCUACGUCAUUAUAUUACUCAACCAGAAAUUCAGCUCCCAGUGAACCUGGUGUCAGAUUUCAGCUCAGCUCAAUGUGUCACAAGUCAGUUUUUGACACUAGAAUACCCUGAGUAAGGAUAUAGUUGGCCCAAUUACAUUUUGGCCAAGACUAAUGCUUAUAAAUCAUGCAUCAAUCAGGUUAUUACCAUAAAACUGUGCUAUAACACCAUGAUGUCCCUGGAAUUUAGUAACAUAUAUUAUAGGGCUCUGUUAUUGCAAAAUUAGAGAAAAUUAAUAUUUUCCCAUAAGUCUAUUCAGAAAGCAUAAAUUAAAUAUAAUAGACUUAUACUGUAUGUACAUAUUGGUAUAGACUGUAUACUGGACAUUGAGAAAGCCUCUUGUGAUCAUGAAAUAACUACUCUGAAGCUCACUUCUUCCCCCUGAAAGAUAACUUCGGCUUGUGUCACUUGAGGAGUGGACUUCUGCAGGACAGGAACCCAUCUCCACUUGCAUUACAGUAUACCCACAUACUCCUUAUCAGGUUGUGGAUUACAUGGGCUGUGCUAUUGCUAACCACAGUCUUGCUGGGCGAGCUAUCCUAGGAUUUUAUGCAUAUCUGCAAAUUUUUUUCUCCUCAUUGUAUCUGAGUUUAUCUAAUUUUAUCUAAUAAAUUUUUGAUGUGAAUCA
rnacentral:lncRNA from 12 species